UCCUUUUUUUCUUCUAGUUUCUCUCUCACAGCCUCUCUCUCCCUCUCUCCCUCUCUCCCUCUCUCAAAUCCAAUGCCACCGUUGCGUGUCGGUUCUCCUUCUUUUUGCAACUCAGUGCGCCACUGUUGUAGCUCGUUGGGAUUCUUCUUAUAGCAACACAGAUCUAUGAUAUGUUUGUUUCUUCAAGCCAUGCCAAUAGGGGUUUUCUUUGUCCCACGUUUUAGGUUAGAUUUGAAUUCCACUCUUACUCAUAUAUCUUUUCUUUGAAAUUCUUUUAUUUGAAUUUGGUUUGGUGUUUAACACUGCAAAACCCUAGGUUUCUUAAUUUCCUCAUGAAGAUGGCGGUUCCCCCGUCUCUUUAUCUUCCUUUUUCUCAAAGUUGCAGAAACCUUGGGAUGAACAAAUUCCUUCGCAGAUCUGAAAGAAAUAUGUAAGAGGUUUCUUGGGUUAUUAUGAAGUGUUUCUUGAAGCUUUAUUAUUGGGAUUCUGCUUUGACCCGGUUACUAUGAAGAGAGGAUGAUUAACAAAACCUAUUGGAUGCUUGAGGGAAGAAUGUUAGUCCAGAAAUUCAAUGACACUUGUUCACAACGGGUGCUAUACUAAAGAUGAAUACCGUCAGAAGGCUUUGAAGUCCUCCAGUUCUCUCGUGAUGGAACCUUGCAUUUCAGAUGUUGGUCCGGAUAGUUGAUUCACACGAUUUAUUCUCUCUGAUACAAUCACUUUCUAUAUUAUAAUCAUAAAUAAAGGAGAGUUUAUUCUUCCUCUGUCUGUUUUUCAUCUACAGCAGGAUCAAAUGGUCAAGCAAUGCAAUCAUCAAAAUAGUGAGUUUUAUAUUGGAAAAUUUAAUUAAUGAUAUCUUAGUAUUCUAAACUAACAUAUAUUUUGUGAUAGAUAACUAUUGUAAUAGAGACUUUUAUAUUGAAAGUGAGACAGUAUACUGUUUUUUUGAAACUUUGAUUUCUAGGUUUUAAUAGUGUUUAGUUUGAUUUCUAUUCUCUAAGUUUGAUCACAUUGUUUAUCUUUUGCUAAAUAACAUUUUUAACUAUUAAAUGUAGCAACAAGAUAUUCAAUGAACUAGGAGAUUCAAAGUCAUAAGUUAUUUCAAUUUUCAAGAAUUUGUGGAGCUUCCUAAACCUGUAAGGGAAUGUGAUGUCACCCGAUUUCUGAAUGAUAAAUGAAAUGUUAACUUCACAAGGACAGACAAUAGAGUUUACAAUAUCAAUUUUAAUAGAUUAUUGGCAUUAAGUUGUUUACAUUCUCUGUCCAAUCAAACUGUUGCAGGAUAAGUCAUUGAGUAUUUACAAAUUGAAGGAAGGAGAGCAUCAUUCACUAUUCUCCUCACAAGAUGGUAAUUUCAAUUGAGUUAAAAUCAAUACUUCAUGUGUCUGUGAAACCAAGCUUCAAUUUGUGAGAGACAUUAUUGAUAUGCUUUUUAUGUUAUUUUUUCUAUUUUGGUUUUUUAGAUGUUUAUAAAUGUGUCAUAGUGGUACUUGGCUAUAUAUGAAUGGCUACGAUGGUAAGCCCUUUCAAUUAAAAUAACUAUAUAAUUUUCACUUACCGAAUAGUUUUUAUAAGCUUAUACUUUUAUAUCUAAGUUAGUUGAGAAGAGUCCUUUUGUCAAUAUAUAAAUUAACAAAUUUAAAGCUUGAAUGCUGUGAUUUUUUUUUUGCAUAUCUUAAAUAUUUUGCGGGGGUUUCGAGCCUCCAUAAAGCAACCGCCCCAGUUUAUUCACCAAGAUACCAGCGGUCGCUCAAAACCCCCGCUAAUAAAUUGUGGGAAUCAUAUAAACGGCAGUUUUUAAAACUCCAGCAAAACAUUUAGCGGAGGUCAGAAACCCCCGCUAAUUGGAAAGAUAACCCCCGCUAUCCAGGCGCGUUUUUUGUAGUGACCGAUGAAGAUUGAUCCAAGUAGUUGCUCUUGGAACAAAAAGAGGCUCGCAAUUUAAUAAUGAAAAACUUAAUGUAUGAUUGUUUCUAUUGCAGGAAAAUGACAAACAUAAAUGAUUUUGUGUUUGAUAUCCAAGCAAAGUCUAGCACAAAUUUAAGACAGAUGAUGAUAUCAAUGAGGAUUUUCAGUCAUUCGAAGAUGAAGAGACAUAGAUGAAGAGAUGUGUAGAUGUUCAAGUUUAUUUUUAUAUAUUAAAAAUGUUAUUUUGAAUAUGA